GAAAGGGCUGCACUAGAACAACAAAGAUGAGAUAUUCUACACAACAAUCAGCUUAUCUGGAAUCCCUUUCCCUUGCAAGGCCAGAGAAAAAUCGCAGCUUCAUUGUCUGAAGGAAGAGGACUCAGGAAAAUGCAACUACACCUGAAGCAAGAUCUUUUAUGGCUUGGCAAUCCCAACCUUGCCGGUGUGAAAGGACCGACCUACCUCUGGAACCCGGAGGGCAACUGUGGCAGCAAAAUCCCAAAGUGUUGCUGCCUAUGGUGACUGUGCUAGAACUGAAACUUCUCAGGAAGCCAGGCUGUUAAAAUUGUGAUGCCCUGUACUCAACAAUACCAUGGAUUAUCUAGUCCAAAGUGGAAAGCAAGCCCUUACGGUAAUGUCAUUUGCAUCCUCAACACCCAGAACGCCCUGUUUCUCUUUCCCUGAAUAAAACUACAUUCAAAUCCCAUUGAA